rnacentral:rRNA from 1 species
GAUGAACGCUAGCGGCAGGCCUAACACAUGCAAGUCGAGGGGCAUCAUGGAUUGCUUGCAAUCCGGUGGCGACCGGCGCACGGGUGCGUAACGCGUAUACAACCUACCUUUUGGAGGGGAAUAGCCCAGAGAAAUUUGGAUUAAUACCCCAUAGUAUAUAGGAAUCUCCUGAUUUUUAUAUUAAACAUUUAUGGCCAUUAGAUGGGUAUGCGUCCUAUUAGCUAGUUGGUGUGGUAACGGCACACCAAGGCUACGAUAGGUAGGGGUCCUGAGAGGGAGAUCCCCACACUGGUACUGAGACACGGACCAGACUCCUACGGGAGGCAGCAGUGAGGAAUAUUGGACAAUGGGCGAGAGCCUGAUCCAGCCAUGCCGCGUGCAGGAAGACUGCCCUAUGGGUUGUAAACUGCUUUUACAGAGGAAGAACCACCCCCACGUGUGGGGGUUUGACGGUACUCUGCGAAUAAGGAUCGGCUAACUCCGUG